GACAGAGGGGGCAAGCGUUGCUCGGAAUUACUGGGCGUAAAGGGCGCGUAGGCGGAAUGGCAAGUCGGUCGUGAAAUCCUUCGGCUCAACCGAAGAACGCCGAUCGAAACUGCCGUUCUUGAGGAUUGCAGAGGAGACUGGAAUUCCCGGUGUAGCGGUGAAAUGUGUAGAGAUCGGGAGGAACACCGGUGGCGAAGGCGGGUCUCUGGGCAAUUCCUGACGCUGAGGCGCGAAAGCGUGGGGAGCAAACGGG
rnacentral:rRNA from 1 species